UUCGGCACUCCAGAUGUUUUGGACUACACCUCCCAUGAUGCUUUGCCAGCAUUGUGGGUGUAAGAGCAUUGUGGGGGAUAUAGUCCACAACAUCUGGAAUGCCGAAGGUUGCCUAUCCCUGCUCUACAUCAUCUUACAAAAAAGGACAGUCAGAUAUCCUACAGUGCAUAAAGGAUUUGUAACAGAGAACCAUUGAAUAUCUAAGGAUGUAUUGUUGUUGCUUCAAAGAGGCUAAAAUAAACUGGUGCAUGGUCUUUCUUAAAUAUGUAGCAUUAAAAAGGUGAUCAGAUCAGUGUGUGAAUCUAACAGAGCAUAUUUCCAUAAACAGAGAGGAAAAAGUUGAAAGGUUUAGAGUGUAAGCAUGGGUAGGAUUAUGACGAGAAGACGAGAAGGAGGAAGUUGGUUCAAAUGUGUUUGAAGGGGUGACUUUGAGCAUAAAUAUUAGUCUGUUUGUGGUAGCUAAAUGUUAAGGUCAUUUAUGGCUAAAGUGACACUUCAAGUAACAAGUUU